GCCCUUUUGGACACCGACGAUACUUUAUGCAGAACGGUCCCUACAACCAUGUAAUCUUGUGCUGGUGUAGCAACCCUUUUGGUUACCUAUAUCACUUGUUGUAUGUGGAAUGAUAACCUCUCCGGUUAUAGCCAAUGAUCGAUUUAUAAAUUUCCUUUAAAUUGUCAAUCUUUGGAUGAUCUUGCACAUUAUUUGAUGUUGGAUACGAGGUGACUUAUAGAUAUCCUUUGAAU
rnacentral:lncRNA from 1 species